AAUUAGAAAGCGAAAAAUUGCAUUUAGUUUCGGCCUAAAAUUUGGUAGAAAUACCUCUAAUUU
rnacentral:tRNA from 1 species